UAACACGUAGGGACCAAGCGUUGUCCGGAUUCAUUGGGCGUAAAGAGCUCGUAGGCGGUUCGAUAAGUCGGGUGUGAAACCUCCAGGCUCAACCUGGAGACGCCACCCGAUACUGUCGUGACUAGAGUCCAGUAGGGGAGCGUGGAAUUCCUGGUGUAGCGGUGAAAUGCGCAGAUAUCAGGAGGAACACCAGCGGCGAAGGCGGCGCUCUGGGCUGGAACUGACGCUGAGGAGCGAAAGCGUGGGGAGCGAACAGGAUUAGAUACCCUGGUAGUCCACGCCGUAAACGUUGGGUACUAGGUGUGGGGUCUUAUCAACGGAUUCCGUGCCGAAGCUAACGCAUUAAGUACCCCGCCUGGGGAGUACGGCCGCAAGGCUA
rnacentral:rRNA from 1 species